CUGGCUGUGUGCCUAAACUGCAUGUCGAAUCUCACACUUGAGCUUAGUGGCAAAUGGUUUACCAACACGUACUUAAUCUACCCCCAAGUUUGGGAUAACAGUUGGAAACAAUUGUUAAUCCCAAAUACAUAUAAGUUUUGCAUAAUUCUUAUAUAAAAGGAGCGUUUGUUUCGCUAGGGGAUGAGAGUGCGCUACAUUAGUUAGUUGGUAGGGUAAGAGCCUACCAAGACUAUGAUGUAUAGCGGGGCUGAGAAGCUGAACCGCCACACUGGGACUGAGAUACGGCCCAGACUCCUACGGGAGGCAGCAGUAGGGAAUAUUCCACAAUGAGCGAAAGCUUGAUGGAGCAACACAGCGUGUCUUUAAGACGACCUUAGGGCUGUAAACUGCUGUUAUGAGGGAAGAAAAAUAAAAUUAGGAAAUGAAUUUUACAUGACGGUACCUCAUCAGAAAGCACCGGCAAACUAUGUGCCAGCAGCCGCGGUAAUACAUAGGGUGCAAGCGUUAUCCGGAAUUAUUGGGCGUAAAGUGUCUGU
rnacentral:rRNA from 1 species